AGAAUCCAAAGGCGAAGAAGGGAAGGAUGAUAAGGCGAAGACGGACGAAGAAAAGAAAGAAGGGGAUGGUGGUAAAGGGGAAGGCGAA
rnacentral:sRNA from 1 species